UACGUAGGUGGCAAGCGUUGUCCGGAUUUAUUGGGUUUAAAGGGUGCGUAGGCGGUUCCAUAAGUCAGUGGUGAAAUACGGCAGCUCAACUGUCGAGGUGCCAUUGAUACUGCGGAACUUGAGUACUGAUGAGGUAGGCGGAAUUGACGAUGUAGCGGUGAAAUGCUUAGAUAUCGUCAAGAACACCGAUAGCGAAGGCAGCUUACCAAGGAGUAACUGACGCUGAGGCACGAAAGUGCGGGGAUCAAACAGG
rnacentral:rRNA from 1 species